AAGUCGUAACAAGGUUUCCGUAGGUGAACCUGCGGAAGGAUCAUUAACACGUUUUCCAACGUUUUACCAACAACCCCGUGAACUGUACCCUCUCACCGACUCAACUUAAUAUAGCGGAAAAAUUAGCAUAAUCAGCCUAUGUGGACAAACAAUCGGAGACAAUGAGUAUCGGAGUCGUCAAGACGAAGAGAAAAUAUUAUCCUUGGGGCAGCUGACGCAUACAGCCUUUGAGCUGUUAUUAAGUUGACUAGGCUUUUUUCGAUCCACACUAUAUUAACCCCUUCAACCGCUCAGUCGUACGACUGACGUAUUCAUUUGACUAAUGCUUAUCAUGUUUGACUGAUCGUAACUUCGGUUACUUUCGGACCUUACACUGAUAUGAGUUAUGUAACUAAGCACAACUCUUAGCAACGGAUAUCUUGGUUCUC
rnacentral:misc_RNA from 1 species